ACUUUCAGCUACACUAGCUUGGUGCAUUGAUCUCAUCAGACCUCACAAGUUAAGCAGUAUUGGCCAGGGCCAUCACUAGGUGGGAGACCUCAAAGGAUCAGCUGCCAAGAGAA
ensembl:rRNA 5S_rRNA 5S ribosomal RNA